UUGAACGCUGGCGGCAUGCUUUACACAUGCAAGUCGAACGGUAACAGGCCGCAAGGUGCUGACGAGUGGCGAACGGGUGAGUAAUGCAUCGGAACGUGCCCAGUCGUGGGGGAUAACGCAGCGAAAGCUGUGCUAAUACCGCAUGAUGUCUACGGACCAAAGCGGGGGACCUUCGGGCCUCGCGUUCUGAGAGGAGCCUAUGUCAGAUUAGCUAGUUGGCGGGGUAAAGGCCCACCAAGGCUAUGAUCUGUAACUGGUCUGAGAGGAUGACCAGUCACACUGGGACUGAGACACGGCCCAGACUCCUACGGGAGGCAGCAGUGGGGAAUAUUGGACAAUGGGCGCAAGCCUGAUCCAGCAAUGCCGCGUGAGUGAAGAAGGCCUUAGGGUUGUAAAGCUCUUUUGUAGAGGAGGAAGGCUGUCGAGCGAAUACCUCGGCGGAUUGACGUUACUCUAAGAAUAAGCACCGGCUAACUCUGUG
rnacentral:rRNA from 1 species